CCUCAGUGCGGAAAUCCGGGGGGAAGUCAUAGAUCUCGAUGACGUGGGGCAGCUCGGCGUCACUGAGGUCCGGCGCGGCCGGCUCAGCCCCGUAGUAGUUGAAGCGGGGCUCCUGCAGGCUCUGCUGGCGCUCAGAGCCCCCCGAGAGCUCCUCCAGCAGGCGCGGAUCCAGGCAAUCCCCAUCGUCAUUGAAAAGCGCAUCCCAGCUCUCCGCACCGCCUGGGCUGCUCGGGGUCCCGGCACCGGGCUGACUCGGCUUUAGGGAGCUGCCAUAGGGACAUCCCUCCUCAUCCUCCUCUUCCUCCCGGUGCUGCCGCUGCCAGCCUUCAUCCUCAUCUGCUCGUGCCGGUUCCUCAGCCCACGAUCCAGGUGAGAGCUGUUCUAUGCCGUGGCACAGCAGCUCCAGGGGUUUUGGGGGCUGGGGACUGCCCAAGGGAUCUCCAUCCCCAGAGCCACUUUCUG
rnacentral:lncRNA from 1 species